UACGGAGGGUGCAAGCGUUACUCGGAAUUACUGGGCGUAAAGCGUGCGUAGGUGGUUUGUUAAGUCUGAUGUGAAAGCCCUGGGCUCAACCUGGGAAUUGCACUGGAUACUGGCAGGCUAGAGUGCGGUAGAGGAUGGCGGAAUUCCCGGUGUAGCAGUGAAAUGCGUAGAGAUCGGGAGGAACAUCCGUGGCGAAGGCGGCCAUCUGGACCAGCACUGACACUGAGGCACGAAAGCGUGGGGAGCAAACAGG
rnacentral:rRNA from 1 species